GACGAACGCUGGCGGCGUGCUUAACACAUGCAAGUCGUACGGUAAGGCCCUUUCGGGGGUACACGAGUGGCGAACGGGUGAGUAACACGUGAGUAACCUGCCCACAACUUUGGGAUAACGCUAGGAAACUGGUGCUAAUACUGGAUAUGUGCUCCUGCUGCAUGGUGGGGGUUGGAAAGCUCCGGCGGUUGUGGAUGGACUCGCGGCCUAUCAGCUUGUUGGUGGGGUAGUGGCCUACCAAGGCGGCGACGGGUAGCCGGCCUGAGAGGGUGACCGGCCACAUUGGGACUGAGAUACGGCCCAGACUCCUACGGGAGGCAGCAGUGGGGAAUAUUGCACAAUGGGCGCAAGCCUGAUGAAGCAACGCCGCGUGCGGGAUGACGGCCUUCGGGUUGUAAACCGCUUUCAGCAGGGACGAAGCUUUUUGUGACGGUACCUGCAGAAGAAGCACCGGCUAACUACGUG
rnacentral:rRNA from 1 species